UCUGGCCUUCUUGGAAAGAAAUAACUUGUAGGAAGAUGAGUCAGUAAGCCUGUAUUGAAACAAACCCAGCAUUUGGUACCAGCACAGUGCUAUCAGCCACUUCUUUCAUCUUUUCAAGUUAAAAUUUGUCUGUUGUGACCAACAAUAAAUAUGCUGAAAUACAUAACAGGAGAAAUCUGCAGUGAGCCACUGUUGGAGACAGGUGCAAGCACUAAUGAUGAGAUGAAAGCAGUGUCAGCACAUUGGACUGGCCCCAGAAAAGGCCCCAUCUGGAGAUCCCAGGACUGCACCAGUCAGCACUUCUGGGAGGAACCAGCACAUGGCAUCAGUCAUCCCCAUUUACUACUUACUUCAACAAAAUUAAAUACUGCUCUUAGGACUCCUGUGCCUAUGUAGGAACCAGGUCUGCAAGUCUGGCUGGAGCUGAAUUUAUAAACCUUCACUUACUUAAAACUGAUGUUGACACAAAUAAAAACAGAAUAAAGAACCAAACCAUAUUUUGUCUGAAGGAGCAGUACCUCAAAAGUCACCAACAACAGAAUUUCAAAUUGCAUCAGCCACAUACCUUACCUGUUAUGAUACAAAGCAGAACAACAUGAUACAAAUCAGAAGUUGAAUGUAAUACAGCCCUGGGCUGCUUUGCUGUGUCCCCUCCCUGCCCAUCAUCCAACCUAUGUCUCCACAGGAAAGCGGCAGAACUCCUUGCACUGAUCAUGCCAUAUGGAAAUACUGAGGAAAAGCCGGGGAAAUUGCUGCACAGCCCACACAGCCCUUCCUGCUGAGACCAGGGCAUGUGAAUGCUGCUCCACCUCCCUGUUCAGGACAUGAUUCUCCAAGGUGUCAUUUCCCAGCUGAUGGUGGCCAGCUCCCCAUCACUGCAGCCUCUUGGCCUCUCUGGGGCUCUGAGCCUCCAGUGCCCUUACCCUGCAGGCAGCACCGGGGGGCUGCUGGCUGAAAGCAAAGGGCACAGUGCUGGUUGUCCUGCAGCUCCAGUGGUGACAUUCAUCCACUGCUGCUUGUGUUUCCUUCUGGGAUAUACUUAGGGUUUAUUCAAGGUUUGUCCUGAAAAUCAACACUUUUCCCUACCAAAGCAAGCUUCAAGGAUUAGAGACAUCCUGAAAUAAUGCAUAUUUUAUUCCUGAAGCAGAUGGGACUAUGCCUUUAAUGUGCCUCUUCAAACCCAGCUGUGCGUCCUGCUCUCUCUCCCUCCCCCCGCUCUGCUCUGACUGCCACACAUCUAUCCAAUGUGGGGAGUUCUCUUCAGCUUGUCACAGCUGGCUUGAUAAUGAAAGACAUUCAGAGAUUUACCAGGCCAUUUCUCCAUGUCAUACCACAGUGCUUUAACCUCAAUUUGUUCCAGGUGAUCUCAGGAAUCUGUGACCAAGUAACCCUCAGCUGCAGAUCAUCUGCCAGGUGGCAGCUGUUUAGGGCACUUCCAGUUCUUAAUUUAGUGGCCGAACCCACCAAGAAUUCAGAUUACACGAGUCAGGUAAAUGCCAAGAAUGCUUUCUAGGAUAUCUAUGAUGGGUUUCCUCUGUGCCAGCUCACAGAAGGUACUUCCUUAUAAUACACUCACUGUUUUUCAGCGCUAAGAUCCCAGAUUUCCUGAGAGAUGCUAGACAAACCUCACCCUUACCAGGGGUGUUGCUGGCCUGCACCUCCUUCCUGCUUUGGCUCGACUUUGCUCACAUGGCUUCACCCUUAUAAACAUCCCUUUACUUCAUAUGAGCCUUAGCAUAUGUCCUAUAUGUACUCAUCCCCUACAGCUGUACAGACAGAUUAUAAAAUAGAGUGUGAUGACUAGACCCUAUAAUGCAAAACUAAAUGUCCAAUUAGGACUUGAUAGAGAAAUGUGAAAUAAAACGCAUCAAACAGGACAAAAUAAUCAAUUUCCCAUUAAAUUGAGGUUACCUUUUUUUUUUCUG